rnacentral:rRNA from 1 species
UACGUAGGGCGCAAGCGUUGUCCGGAAUUAUUGGGCGUAAAGAGCUCGUAGGUGGCGUGUCGCGUCUGCCGUGAAAAGCCCCAUGGCUUAACUGUGGGGUCUGCGGGUGGGAUACGGGGCAGGGCUGGAGGCUGGGUAGGGGGCAAAGCGGGAAAUUCCUGGGUGUAGCGGGUGAAAUGCGCAGAUAUCAGGAGGGAAACACCCGGGUGGCGAAAGGGCGGGC